GAUCCUGGCUCAGGAUGAACGCUGGCGGCGUGCCUAACACAUGCAAGUCGAACGGAGCUGCUUUGAUGAAGUUUUCGGAUGGAUUUAAAACAGCUUAGUGGCGGACGGGUGAGUAACGCGUGGGUAACCUGCCUCACACUGGGGGAUAACAGUUAGAAAUAGCUGCUAAUACCGCAUAAGCGCACGGUUCCGCAUGGAACAGUGUGAAAAACUCCGGUGGUGUGAGAUGGACCCGCGU
rnacentral:rRNA from 1 species